rnacentral:rRNA from 1 species
UACGAGGGGGGCAAGCGUUGUUCGGAAUUACUGGGCGUAAAGCGUGCGCAGGCGGUUCGUUAAGUCAGCUGUGAAAGCCCCGGGCUCAACCUGGGAAUUGCGGUUGAAACUGGCGGACUAGAAUCUGGCAGAGGGGGGUGGAAUUCCACGUGUAGCAGUGAAAUGCGUAGAGAUGUGGAGGAACACCGAUGGCGAAGGCAGCCCCCUGGGCUGAGAUUGACGCUCAGGCACGAAAGCGUGGGGAGCAAACAGG